GAUGAACGCUGGCGGCGUGCUUAACACAUGCAAGUCGAACGAAAAGACUCCUGCUUGCCGGGGCACUCGAGUGCCGAACGUGUGCGUAACACGUGGGUGAUCUGCCCUUCACUUCGGGAUAAGCCUGGGUAACUGGGUCUAAUACCUGAUAGGACCAUCGUUUAGUGUCGGUGGUUGAAAGUUUUUUCGGUUUGGGAUGAGCUCGCGGCUUAUCAGCUUGUUGGUUGGGUAAUGGCCUACCAAGGCGUCGUCGGGUAGCCGGCCUGAGAGGGUGUACGGCCACAGGGUGACUGAGGGACGCACCAGUACAGUAAGGGAGGCAGAAGUGGAGAAUAUUGCCAAAGAGGCGCACGCGGGAUCUAGUGGGGUGGCGGGGGGGAGAACUGGCUUCUGGGGGUAAACUCCUUUCGCCAGAGACGAACCGAAAGUGACGGUACCUGGAUAAGAAGCACCGGCUAACUACGUG
rnacentral:rRNA from 1 species